GUCUCCUGUAGCCAAGCUGCUGCCAGCUUUUAAAUGGGGCUGAACAGAGGAACACUAUUCCUCCUGGAGCUUCACACACAUUCCACCGCCAAACAAAUAAACAGGAAGUACUCAGCAUCAAAGCAGAGUGAAAGUAGCAGUUCCUCCUGAAGGUCAGUGAUUGCAGCAUCUGAGGGCCUCUUCAAAAGAAGACGUAGUUGAUGAAGGCGUUCUGGAGCAGGACCAGAAAGACCACGACCAAGCAGCCUUGAGAUCUUAGGCAGCGUCUCCCUCAGACCAAAGAACUACAGACUCUUCACAACCUGCUCAAACUCUUGGUACAGGACCUCACCACACGGGUCAAGAAGGUUUCCAUCUCAUUUCUACUCUGAAGCUCACCUUCUCCUGCUCAAACUGCUGACAAAUGUUUCUGCUGCUCUAAAGUCUGGUCUCCAGAACUUCCUAAAAACUCUCAAAGUCUCUGCUGCUGCAGGUUGCUUUGUAGAACUGUUGCAGAAAACCUCACUAAACCACAUGGAGGGGCCUCAAGAUAGUCGUCCAAAUGAAACCAUACAAAAACCAAACUAGCACAACCCAAACGCUAAAGUCUCCUGCAGCCUACCAGAGAAGUUCUGAGAACAGAGAAUCAGGACAGAAACUCUUACCUUCUGGACAACCAAUGCUGGUUCUCAAACAAGAAUACAGAAUGUGUCUGACCAAAAACCUCUGAAGACUCACUACAGCCAAGAUAAAGACACAACUCACCUGCACCAAAUCCACUAAUCACUGCACACAUUAUCACCAUGUGCUAACUGCGGCUAAAGAACCACCUUUACCAAGACAACUAUCCAGUACAAAGCCCUAAAACACACCAAAAAACACAUUAAAGACGAUUUUACUGCUGGAAGCUGCAAGCCAACGCCUAAAGAACAAACUAAGCAACGGAGCCAAACCCAGCUCAGUGGUGAAGAGAAACAGAGGAAAUGUUUGUCUGCAGCUAAACAAAGCAGGAAGACACUGAGCUGCUCAGGUGUUCCUGAUAAUACCAAUCAGCCACCUGGACAGCCAAUAGGAACACAGCUUCCUGGAAGUCCAGAGGGCUGGCUUAGUCAAGGAAAUUUAGUUUAAAGUUGAAGCAGAAAGUUAACAAAAAGUUGAAAACCACCUUCUGAUACCUGAAAUCUCUGAGUUUUCACACAAAGAACGCCUGAACAUGUCAAACUGGUUCCAUAGUAGAACCAUCAUUGUAAAAACGUCAUAGUAUGGUGUGUUGCUCAAAAAACAUUACGACCUGGCUGUCUUGGGUCGCUGAGGAGCAACACAAAAACAGGACAAAUGCUGGUUUCCAGGGGGUUAGGAGGAUAUUUAUUUGAAAGAGGAAGUUUACAACAACACGUGUGCAGAAAAUGUCAUCCAAAUUGUGACAAAAACGUCAUAGUUUAGUAUGUUGUCCAAAAUGUAACAAAAAUGUCAUAGUUUAGUAUGUCGUCCAAAAUGUAACAAAAUGUCAUAGUUUAGUAUGUGCUUCAAAAUAUGACAAAAACGUCAUAGUUUAGUAUGUGGUCCAAAAUGUGACAAAAAUGUCAUAGUUUAGUAUGUGGUCCAAAAUGUGACAAAAACUUCGUAAUUUAGUAUGUUGUGCAAAAUGUGACAAAAACGUCAUAGUUUAGUAUGUUGUCGAAGAUGUAAUAGUUUAGUAUGUCGUCCAAAAUGUGACAAAAACGUCAUAGUUUAGUAUGUGGUCCGAAAUGUGACAAAAACGUCAUAGUAUAGUAUGUGGUCCAAAAGGGGAAAAAUGUCAUAGUUUAGUAUGUCGUCCAAAAUGUCGCUAAAACAUCAUAGUUUAGUAUGUCAUCCAAAAUAUAGCAAAUGGGUGCCCAGGUAGCUCAGCUGGUUGAUAGGGUGACUCGUAAACAGGACUCUGUCAGACAUAGGUUCGAUUCCAGCUCAUAGCCCUUUACUGCAGGUCUUCCUCUUAGCUUACGUAUUGGUGAAAGAGUCCAAAAAAUAACUUUUAAAAAAACAUCAUUGGCUGUCUUCUUAAAUGUGGAAAAAAGUCAUAGUAUGUAGUCCAAAAUGUGGACAAAACGUCAGUUUAGUAUGUCGUCCAAAUUGUAUUAAAAAAACGUAAUAGUUUCUAUACUAUUCUAAACUAUGACAUUUCAGUCAACUGAGCAGCCUUGGCGGAGUACUGCACUCUCUGAGUGCUUUUCUAAUUUGUUUGUGUGUUUAUUUGUGGAAGAAUAUAGAAACACAUGAAAACAUUUUACAGCUUUUUUUUUUUAUCUUUCUUAAAUGGUUAGCUUAGCUUAGUUUAGCUUAAAUUAGCAUAAAGACUGGAGCUAUCGUCACUAUCUAAAGAAAAACAGUUUCAUUUAUAGAGAGGCAGCUUUAUACAGAUUUAUUAGUAAUAUGUGAAAUA
ensembl:lncRNA